ensembl:lncRNA
AAAUGAGUUGCCAUCACCAGACCUAUGGGUUCUGAGAAUACCCGAAUUGCGCGGGGAGAUUUGUCCCGUGUUCACAGGCGGGGCCGAGGCGGGGCCUGGAUGUCUCGGGCGGCACAUCCCGCCCCUCCCUGGGUGUUUCAGAGAGAAGCAGAAAGGUUUUCUCUCCCACUGGAUAGACCCACCCAGAGCCCAGCCGUGGAAUUACCCCCUUGUAGGGAGUGAUCUUACUUCCCAACCCAGGUAUGGUAGCAGUUCUAUAGCUGAAUUAUGAGAACACUUAUCUUUGUUAAUGUAGCAGCUUAAAUCCUGCUUCAGGCUGCAUCUCUCUAAAACCUGCAGUAUCUGGUGUUUGUGGGUUUGUUUUGUUUCUUUUUUUAUAAAAUAAUGCUACUUUCUACUGGUGAUCUUGGUACUUUCAUGACAUAAACGUGAACAUCAAGAAACAGGUUUCCACUGUGAGGGUGAUAAAACCCUGGCACAGGUUGCCCAGGGAGGUUUUGGAGUCACCAUCCUUGGAAAUAUUCAGAAGCUAGGCAUCUAUGGUUCUGGGCAACUUGCUCCAGAAAGCCCUGCCUGUGACCUCUGAAGUCCUUGUAACCUUCAGCAAUUCUGUAGAUCUGUCAGAGGUCAAACCCACCACCUCCUAAGGUAGUUUAGCUUUCCUUAUAGGCAGGCACAGGAGGGAGUGUCUUCAGUUUGUUUCACUUCAGAAAAAUUCCUGUGUUUUAUAUAGAACUAUACAGAUCUUUAUAAAGCUGUUCCAUAACUUGUAUCUUGGUGGUUAGGAACUCUCCUGUGACUGGGAAGACUGGGCAGGAAUCAUGUCCUGAGGCUAAGAAAAUUAAAUCUGUGUUUUCAGUGUCUUGACUGCUGUAGACAUGGAGCUGCUGUAGAACACAUGGCACUGCUUAGUGCUACUGUUCUAAGAGUUAUCACACUACUUUUUUUGUAGAGUUAAUCUGUAGGUGAAGGCUGCUUCCAGACACAGUGCUUCAAAGAUGAAUGUUAGAAUCUAUUUCUGGAUCGUGGUCAGGCAUAUAAAUACUGAGCUGUUAAAAACUCUGUCAAGACGGAGACAUUUCUGAGUAGGUGCAGAAGGAGAAUUUCACAUGCCUGAAGUCUUAAGACCAGGCAUGCUGCUGACACAUUCAGGUGUUCCCAAAGUUAGCAUAGCAGAGGGGAGCUGCACCUUUGACUUUUGAUGCCUAAAUUGUUAUUAAAGCUUCAAUUUUGACACUCAGAUUCUCAUUUAGAUUUGACCUGAAGCAGUAUUUCUGCUGGAAGCGUUCACUGGGAGGGUUUUGUGCAAAUUUCUUGUAUUUUGCUCUUUAUGUAGUGAAUUGCGAUUUCAAAUAAGACACCUUCAAAUAGAGGGAAGCUACAUUAACCCAUGUUCAUUCUGAGAAGGUUUGAAGUUCUUGUUGGCCAAAAGGGGAGCUUAAAAGGUGUUUGGGGGUCAUCUUGUUUCCCUGCUGCUGAACAAAAUGCGAUGUACUGCUAAAACAGCUCUAAUAUACAUAAUAGCCUAAUUUUGUAUCAGUGCAUUCCUUAAGGAAUAAGGAUAAUAAAUAAACCAUAAUUCAGAAAAACA